UUACAUUGUUCUAACUCCCCCGUUUUCUUCUUCAGCUACGGUGUCUCCGAAGUCAAUCCUUGCUUCGUUUCCAGUCGUUUGGCUUCAAAUUUCCUCCAUCCCUCAAAUAUCCUCUCUCUCUGUCGUCUUUCUCUAUCUCUCAUUCACUCCGUUUCCAAUCGUUCGGCUUCUCCGUUUUGCUCCCUUCUCUUCUCAACUCUCUAAACUCACUUUUCUCAAAAACAUCAAACGAAACAGAACCCAAAACAAAAAGAAAAACUGAGAAGAAAAAAAAAACCCUAUCUUUCUCUUUUUUUUUUUCUUCCUCUUUCUCUGUGUAUGAAAAAUCUUUGUAUCUCUCAGAAUUGGUGCAAAAAGUUUUCCGUCUCAGAUCCCAAUAUAUAUACACAUACAUAUAAUAAGGCUGAAUAUCCAUAAAACCCUUAUCUGUUCUUCUCUCUCUCUCUCCUUCGAUUUUUUUUCUUCAAAUUUGAAGAGGGUGUAGUAAUGCAAGAAGCAGGGCUGGGAAUGUUGAGUGGUGUUGGCAACAUGAACAUUAGUUUAGGCGGUGGUCUGAGCGGAGGCAGAGGUGGAGGCGGUGAUGUUUCGAUCUCCGGCGACCAAGAUCGUCACUUGAAGGCGGAGAUCGUGACUCACCCUUUGUAUGAAUGGCUCUUGGCGGCUCACGUGCCUUGUCUCCGUGUGGCUACACUGAUCGAUCAGCUGUCGUUGAUCGACGCACAGCUUUCUCAGUCCCACCACUUGCUCCGCUCUUAGCUUCACUUGCUCAUUCUUCUAACCUUUCCCACCAUGACCGUCAAGACCUCGAUAAUUUUUUGAGCCAUGGAAUGUUGUUCCAUGUGGAUGCUGCAUAUGCUGGAAGUGCUUGUAUAUGUCCAGAAUAUUCCCACUACAUUGAUGGUGUUGAAGAAGCUGACUCAUUUAACAUGAAUGCACACAAAUGGCUUCUGACAAACUUUGAUUUUUCUUCACUCUGGAUCAAGGAUAUAAAUGCUUUGAUUCAGGCCCUGUCUACAAAUCCUGAAUAUUUGAAAAACAAGGUGUAUCUUUUUGUGUACUUAUCUAUAAUGCUUAGAGAUUCAAUAUGGAAAUCAAACCACUUACUUUCAUAAUGAACUUGACAUUUAGGCUUCUGAAGAAAACUUGGUUGUGUAUUACAAGGAUUGGCAAAUACCACUUGGUCGUUAUGGUUUUCAAAGUUCUGAGUCAUUCAUACAGAUUCAAUAGUGUAUCCUUCCAAAGUUUGUGUUUUGAUGAAAAAUUACAUAUUACUAAUAGGUCACUUAAACUAUGGAUGGUGCUACGUCUUUAUGGUUUGGAAAACUUACAGUGCUACAUAAGAAACCACAUCAACUUGGCUAAAUACUUUGAAGACCUUGUUGGUCAAGACCCAAGAUUUGAGAUCACCACGCCUCGAAUCUUUUCUUUGGUUUUUUUUCGGCUGCUGCCAAGCUCCAAGGAUGAGGCUUUGGCCGAAAAAUUGAACCAUGAGUUCUUGAAUGCUGUGAACUCAAUUGGGAAAACUUUCAUUUCUCAUACAGUGUUAUCAGGAAAAUACUUGCUACGAUUUGCAGUAGGAGCUCCAUUGACUGAAGAGAGACAUGUUAAUGGAGCAUGGAAUGUUUUACAAGAAAAAGCCUCUGCCCUGUUGGGAACUUUGUAUUGAUUAUAUACUUUAGGUCGUGGAUCGAAUUGGCAAGGAGUAUUGCAAAGUUAAUUAACUUGAUUAUUAAUUGCAAGAGGUGCGGAAGUAUGUUCUCUUAACUCUUUUAUUAAUAUCAUACAAAUGUUAGAGGAGUUUGAAUAUCUUAAAUAUUCAUUCGUAGAGAAGUAGGUUCUGAGAUUAAAAUUGUGUGCUGCGGUGAUAACGGAAUGUUGAAAACUUGUGUGUCUUAGAGAAGUAGGUUCUGGAAAAUUUGUUUGUGUGUUGCGGUGAUAUAAGGAAGAAACCUUAUUGUGUGCUGUGUGAAUUUUUUUACUUGGUAUCAUAAUAAACUUUUAGUUAAAAUUUAAAAAAACCUCCAUGUUUCACUUAAAAAGUGAACAGAAAAAUCUAAAAAUAUUAUGAUGCUUUGUUCUUUGUAUUUGAUUUGAAAGCUUGUUUGUGGAGCCCAGCAUCAAUAUUAAAGCACUACUAAUAUUAAAGGACAUAAAUAUUAUAUUCAUACAUGAUUUAUACUUCUAAAGCAAGCCAACAAUAUUUGAGGACAAAAUGUCCUGGCAAAAUACAAGGGAAAUCUUGCAUGAGUAUGUAUUCCCAUUAAGGGUUGUGUUCAAAUAGAUUCACAUAGCUCUGUCUUGAUCUAUAAGUCAAACAAAAGAAAAUUGUUCAACUGUUAAGACUUGCAACACAACAGCAUAAUUCAGAAAGUUGUGUUGCAUACAGAACAAGUUACAAGCAAAAGUUUGUAACGAGGAUUAUUACCACCACCAUAUAUUUCACAAAUUUUUUCCUGAUAAAGAAGGAAAAAAAUCAUAUUAAUUAUAUAAGAAAUGAUGACUGAAGCCUGUAGAAACGGAUAUGUACUCAUAAUGCAAAUUAAGUCAUAAAAAAGAAAAUAAAUAAGAAUUGAGCCAAGGACAAUUUUCUUGCUUGCUUCUUAUAGAGUCCCUAAUUAUAACCAAUACAUCUCAUUGUAUUCAACCAGUACAAGAUUUCCAAUAAAAGCACCAAUUGAGGCUCAGACUAAGUUUCAUCGCAACUAUAAAUUUAUUACUAGCUAUAGCUUGUUUCAAGGCAAACAAUAAAAUCUUGCACUUUACAUGUCAUAUAAUGCAUUAAAUACCAACAUGCAACAUAGAAAUAAAUAGUUGAUAUUAUAUAUGGAUAGAUAACACACCUUAUCUUUAUCAUUUUGCCAGAGUUUUGCCUAUGUUUUCUCUUUUUCUUGUAGACUGAAUGAUCAUCAGAAGCUUCAAUGGUUCCCAAAAUCUGAAAUUUUAUUCCAUAAGUAGUGAUUUAAUACAUAUUAGAGAUAUAUAUAUAUAUUAAUUACUUCAAGUAUUUAAUACCUAAGAAUAUAGUCUGUUAUAGUCUUAUUGAACUAACUGAUAUCCUAUGAAUAAUAAGGAGAGUAACUUGAAAUAACUGAUACCAUAAAGGCAUCAACGAAUUAGAGUUAUAAGAAGAGAGGAAGAAACAUACCUUUGACCUUAUCCAUUGAGAAAGUAGAUAUUUUAGAAUAUUAAUUUCCUCUUCAACAUUCUUCCUUAGAAGAUUUUCUUUCUGAAGCAUUUUUUUGAGUUCAACAACUUCCUCUAGAGCAGACAAAUUAUGUGAAACAAACUUCCAGAGACAAAUUACAACAUAAUUUAAAAUGUUAGUUGAAUUGGAGAGUGAAAGAAGAGACCAGAUAUGUCAUGAAAAUCAGAAGCCUAAGUGAUAAUUUAAGACAAGCCACACAUCCAUUUCUAAAUAGAUCUGCUACAGUUAUCUAUUAUUCCAUAUAUUAUGUUUAAGAGGUUAUAAUAAAGCAACAUAUUCAUCACUAUAUAAGCCAAUUUUUUAAUGACUGAGAUAUUGAGAUGAUCAAAAGCAAUAGUGAAUACUUUAUAUUUAAUAAAUUCCCACCAUUUAUUUUAGUGUUUGUUUUUGUUCUAGUUGAAUUAGACAUGUAUAAUUAUUACAUCCUUAGAGACAUCAGUGUGCCAAACACGCUUUAUGGUGAAUCAGAGUACAGAAUAAGCAAAAUGUGUAGUUUGAUUUGAUGCUUUAUUUUUCAAACUUCUGUGAUGAUAAUAGAGGUAUCAUUCAGAAACAAUUAUAUAGGAAGCUCUUUUUCUCAUCUGAUAUAAUUACCUCUUUGUUAGAUGUCACAUCAGUGCCAUUAUCUUUCGCUCCAUUUGCGAUUUUGUCACUGCCAUGGUUUCACUGAUUCAUCAUCAAUUGCUCUUCAAGCUUCUUUAUGGAUUCUAUGUAAUCUUUCUAAUACUUUAAUCUUUCCUUCUACAAAUACAAAAAAUGAGGAUUACAACAAUUAAAAUAACUAUAGGCACUUAUCAGAUCAGAAGUUCAUGUAUUAAAAAAAAACAAGGAGACCUGAGCUACUUUUCUUGCCUAUAAAAAAAUAAUAAAAUGAAAAGCUGUUAAGACCAAUUAGCUUUUAAGAAAAUUUAACACAUGAAGGAACACACUUGAAGAGACAAAUAAACAUGCCAAAAUUUUCAAAGGAACAUGAUGCUUUUGGAUAAUAUUAACACAAAUAUUUACUUCCAAGGCUUCUGCAUAAUUCCUUCCAGUCUCAAAAAUCUGAUUUUUUGCCUUUGAUUAUUCUCUCAAUUUCAUCCUUUAAUUCUUUCUGCUACCUUUCAUGUUCCAUAAUAAGUUUAUCUAAUUGUAUAUCUAGCCUUCUGGAUAAAUAUUUGUAAUCAAAUUCCUUCUUAAGUUGGUAUAAACUGUGGAAAAAAAACUGCCUCACUUUAAAGCAUAUGCCUCAUUGUUGCUAAAUGUUGCUAACAAUUGGUAUAAAUGUUGCUAAAUGUAACUUGUUCCUAUGAAUAAAGGCUAGUCAACAAAGCGAACAAUAAGAAAAGACUCAUUUUGUAAUAAGAAAUUCAAACACUCAUACCUAACUUAUCAAUAAGCUCUGAACCAGCUAGAUCGAUUACAACUAACUUGCCCUUCCGAACUAAAGGAGCCUUUAGAGUUUUACUUAUGUGGGAGAUGUUACCAUUUUCUUUCAAAAGAGUUGAAUCUCUUCCUUUCACAUGCCUCUUCACAUUUACCUGUAGCAGUUUAUGUGAUUGUUAAUGCUCCACCUUAAACAAUUUAAAACUUUUAAAAUUCGGAACCAUUGAAGUACCAAGAAUUACACAUUAAGUAUUACCAUCAAAAUAGCAUGACUACGAGAAGAUUUUGUGUUCAAUUUUGUUUUUGUAGCAAAACAGUGAGCCUCUCCAAGUCAUAAUAGUUCCACAAAACUCAUAUGGUCCCAAAUUUCAAUUAUUGUAGCCCCUGGUAGAGAAACAUCUCCAGUUUUGGGGUCUUCCACUAUGGAAAUGUUAUCAUUUGCAAGAUCAAGAAGGUCCUGUAUAGUUUCCAUAUAAUGAUGCAAGCAUAAAUGGAAAGAAAAAAAACUAGGAUCAUUUGGAAAAUAUUGCAAAUUAAUCAAAGCACAAAACAAGUUUGAUUGUUUAUGAAAUCAAAUAUCUGACAAGGAAUAUACAUAAGAUUAUGACUAUGUAUAAAAAAAAUAAAAGAAUUUAUCCCAAAAUAUAACAACCUACAAAUAUGAAACUGACACAGAAUCAAUCUCUAGAGAAAUAUCUGCUAAAAUGUCCUCCAUUGCGCGCACCAUUAUACCACGAGCAGUUGUGCCUUCUUCUCCAAGUCUUCCAAGAGUAUAUGUUUUACUUGUACCAGUCUGCCUAUAUGCCAUGACUGUCCCAUUAUAACCAUCUAGGACACUCUGGGAAAAGAGAAUUACAAAGUUCCAUGUUACUUAAUGAAAUAUCUACAAAAAUAUAGUUUGUAUUAUAAAAGUGCUAUGCAUAAGUACAACACUAAUAAUGAAAGAAAAUUUGAUGUAGAUGCACCUCCACAACACGUUUUUCCACAACUUCAUAAACACGUUUUUGUGAUGCAAACUCAGUUAGCACCUCAUCAAACUCGAAUGUAUCAGAGUCUUAAGCGAACAUAGAGACAUAUAUCAUUGGCUGACCUUUUGAAACCAAUUUUAGACAUCACUUCAUCAAAUCUUUUGUACCAUUGCCUUGGUGGUUGUUUAAGGCCAUACAAGGACCUCUUAAGCGAACACACCAAAUUUUCCAACUUAGAUUCAACUUUGAAUCCUUCGGGUUGCUCCUUUAAAAUAGUCUCUUCCAACUUGCCAUUCAAGAAGGCUAUUUUAACAUUCAUUUGUUCUACCUCCCAAUCGAUUUUCACAGCUAAAGCAAGCAUCAUUCUUAUAGUUUUAAGCUUGAUAACAGGUGAAAAAAUUUAUGAAUAGUCAAUUCCCACAGAUUGUGAGUAACCCUUGGCCACUAACCUUGCCUUAUACCUUAUAGGAUCUGUAGGAUUUAUGCCUGGUUUCAGCUUAUAAAUCACCUCAGUAAGACAAGUAGCUGAAUUGUUUACUAUUCUUUUUUAAUGCUUUAUUUCAGUUAUAAUUUUUUGGUGUUGGGCUCUUAUCCAUGAUGCAUUUUGUUUGGUUCUCAACUGUGAUGAUAUUUUUUAUGGACUUUUUGAGAAACUGGAAGUCUUGUUUUUUCUUUUCUUUCUAAAAUGGGAAUGCUCUGUUUGGACUGUUUAUGAUGUUGUGCUCUUUUCUUUCUAAACUAGAAGUCUUGUUUUUUAUGGACUGUUUAUGAUGCUCUGUCAAGUACACCCCAAAAGGAAUGGUGUUUGGUCCUUUGAAAGCUUCACAGCAAGAAAGGAACAAUUCCUGAAGAGCAGCCACGGGAACCUUUGGGCAGUAAUUUGGGGUCUUCAUCAUAUGCCUCUUCACACGCCCAUUUUUCCUCUUCACAAUCCUCUUUUUCACAUACCCAACUCUGCUCAUGUGCCUCACCAUAGGCCUAACCUCACCCCUCCCUUGCUCAAAAUCCAUGCUUUUUUUGGUCAAUUUAGGACAAACCCAGAUGAGAUUUGAUGAAGAAUUUUUUUGGGUAUUUGGUAAAAGAAAGAAAGAAUGAGUAUUUUUUUUGGUUUGGAUUGGAAGUAACAGUGUUGGAGGAAGGUGGGGAAUGAGAGAUGACAUAUUUAUAAAUAUUGUGUUUGCUCAAAGGGAAUGAGGCAAAACCAGGGGCCAUUUAGAGUAGGAAAUGAGCAACUAUUUAAGAAAAAGAAAUUAAAAAAAAAGUAUUUUAUUUUUUGUUUGAGAUAUAUUUAAAAAAAAAAAGAUAUAUAUAUAUAUAUAUAUAUACUAGAACAGCCACAAGAAUCCUUUUGACUCUUCCUUUAUCAUCAUCAUCACAAUCAUUUUUUAUCUUGUGAGCUGGAGGAACUUUGUUCAAACCAUGUUUUGUAGUGUGGGGAAUCAAAUGGAGAUAAUGCACAGGAACUGGAGUAGGACUAAGCACCGGAGCAGGAGCUGGAACCUCAACUUCACCAACGAGUGAUGGAGAUGGGGCUGGAGACAAAUAUCCAUAGUCACCAUUUGAUGUCCUUCUCACGUGGAAGCUUCUUAGCCUAAGUAAAACCUUGAACUUUUCCACUAAAGAACUUUUAGGCUCUUCAUCAUUCUCACCCUUUCCUAGAAGAAGAGCAACAAAAUAUGAAGCUCAAAAUGACUGAAAUGAUGAAUCUACUUAAAGAACACUUGGUGGUUGGUGGUAAAGCGACACCAAGCAGAGGACAGUCUCGCAAUGUACCUCAGUCAAACAAUAUUCAUUCCCCUAAGAAGUGACAAGCAAAAUAGAAAAUGAUACUUAAUUUUGAAGGCUUUGUGUUGGGCAGCUGUAGAAUAUUUUGUGCUGAAAGUAGUAACUUUUCAAUAUGUUGAAUAUUUAAGACUACUUGAAUACUUAAAGAACAUUUUGUUGUUGAUGACAGUGUUGAAUAUUUUAAACUAAUUUGUGGAUUGUUAAUACAAUGUUGAAUGUUUUUACUUUUUAUUAUUUGAAAAUCAAGUUCAUUUGA